ensembl:processed_transcript
UCGAUGUUGAAUGUAACAUAUUGUUGCGUUUCAUCAACGGUGGAGAUUAGCUUCAUAUGAAACACAUUGAUCAUUUUAAGAAACUCAAACCUUGUCUAAACUCUACAGCGUAAUGAAGAACAUUGUAUCACUGCUUCUGCUGUUUUUGUUUACUGACAGUGUGUUUGGUGAAUUCUUUUUAGUGAAGGAGGGAGAUUCUGUUACUCUACACACUAAUCUAACUGAAAUUUGGAAAGAUGAUGAUAUCGAGUGGAGGUAUGGAGAGAAAGGAAACCUCA